rnacentral:rRNA from 1 species
UCGGCUUAGAGUUUGAUCCUGGCUCACAUUGAACGCUGGCGGCAGGCUUAACACAUGCAAGUCGAGCGGUAGGGGAGCUUGCUCCCCACGAGCGGCGGACGGGUGAGUAAUGUCUGGGAAACUGCCUGAUGGAGGGGGAUAACUACUGGAAACGGUAGCUAAUACCGCAUAACGUCGCAAGACCAAAGAGGUUCGUCUUGCCAUCAGAUGUGCCCAGAUGGGAUUAGCUAGUAGGUGGGGUAAUGGCUCACCUAGGCGACGAUCCCUAGCUGGUCUGAGAGGAUGACCAGCCACACUGGAACUGAGACACGGUCCAGACUCCUACGGGAGGCAGCAGUGGGGAAUAUUGCACAAUGGGCGCAAGCCUGAUGCAGCCAUGCCGCGUGUGUGAAGAAGGCCUUCGGGUUGUAAAGCACUUUCAGCGAGGAGGAAGGUGGUGAGUAAUCUCAUCAAUUGACGUUACUCGCAGAAGAAGCACCGGCUAACUCCGUGCCAGCAGCCGCGGUAAUACGGAGGGUGCAAGCGUUAAUCGGAAUUACUGGGCGUAAAGCGCACGCAGCGGUUUGUUAAGUCAGAUGUGAAAUCCCCGGGCUCAACCUGGGAACUGCAUUUGAACUGGCAAGCUAGAGUCUCGUAGAGGGGGGCAGAA